rnacentral:rRNA from 1 species
CACACUAUCGUUAACUGAAUACAUAGGUUAACGAGGCGAACCGGGGGAACUGAAACAUCUAAGUACCCCGAGGAAAAGAAAUCAACCGAGAUUCCCCCAGUAGCGGCGAGCGAACGGGGAGCAGCCCGGAGUCUGAAUCAGCUUGUGUGUUAGUGGAAGCGUCUGGAAAGUCGCACGGUACAGGGUGACAGUCCCGUACACGAAAAUGCACAGGUUGUGAACUCGAAGAGUAGGGCGGGACACGUGGUAUCCUGUCUGAAUAUGGGGGGACCAUCCUCCAAGGCUAAAUACUCCUGACUGACCGAUAGUGAACCAGUACCGUGAGGGAAAGGCGAAAAGAACCCCGGCGAGGGGAGUGAAAAAGAACCUGAAACCGUGUACGUACAAGCAGUGGGAGCACCUUCGUGGUGUGACUGCGUACCUUUUGUAUAAUGGGUCAGCGACUUAUAUUCUGUAGCAAGGUUAACCGUAUAGGGGAGCCGCAGGGAAACCGAGUCUUAACUGGGCGUUAAGUUGCAGGGUAUAGACCCGAAACCCGGUGAUCUAGCCAUGGGCAGGUUGAAGGUUGGGUAACACUAACUGGAGGACCGAACCGACUAAUGUUGAAAAAUUAGCGGAUGACCUGUGGCUGGGGGUGAAAGGCCAAUCAAACCGGGAGAUAGCUGGUUCUCCCCGAAAGCUAUUUAGGUAGCGCCUCGUGAA